AGUCAGUGACACUCCCUCCUGCAGCUCUUCAUGACUCUGUAACUAUAUGAGACUGGUAGGUUGUGUCCAACAACAUGGAGCUUAUCAUCAUCACACAAGACCUCCUCAGAUUGUCCAUCUUUCUGCUGUGGACUACAGGUCUUAUUGAUGGGAGUGGUGUCACCCAGACUGACAUACUGUGUAAAAAACAGGGUGACAGUGCAACAAUGAGCUGCAGCCAGACCAAGGGUGCUGACUACUACCAGAUGUACUGGUACAGACAGCUGCCAGGAGAAACAAUUAAACUAAUCGUGUUCACAACAACCCUCAACAAAGAUCACGACUUUGGAAAUUUCACAAAAGAUAAAUUUUCAGCCACCAGGACUGAGGUUGAGAGUGGGACAUUCACAGUGAAGAAUCUGAAGCCAGAAGAUAAAGGCUUGUAUUUCUGUGCUGUGAGUAAACACAGUGAUACAGACUCAUUCAAUAGCUGUACAAAAACCCCAGUGCUCUGUUGGCACUACCGUUUCCAAAACUAAUUAUCUCAUGUACUGUAGGGGGACCUCAAGGACCACAAAUUCUCCCAGUUACAUCCUGAUCACACACCACACAAUACAUGACACUCCCACCUGCUACUCUUUAUCUCUGUAACUACACUGACAGCUGUGUUUUCUGACUUUCUGAACAUGGACAUCAUCAAACAUGGUCUCGUCAGCUUGUUACCAUUUCU